AAUUUUUUUGCAAUGGGCGAAAAGCCUGACAGAGCAAUACCGCGUGAGGGAAGAAAGCCCACAGGGUUUGUAAACCUUUUUUGUCAAAGGAAGAAAGUUUGACGUUACUUGACGUAUUAAGCAUCGGCUAACUCCGUGCCAGCAGCCGCGGUAAGACGGGGGGAUGCAAGUGUUAUCCGGAAUCACUGGGGCGUAAAGCGUUUGUAGGUGGUUUAGUAAGUUUAUUGUUAAAGCUUGAAGCUUAACUUCAAAAAUGUAAUAGAAACUACUAGACUUGAGGAUAGUAGGGGGAAAGGGAAUUUCCAGUGGAGGCGGUGAAAUGCGUAGAGUAAAAAAGGACCACCGAUGGCGAAGGCACUUUACUGGGCUAUCUCUGACAGUAAGAGACGAAAGCUGGGGUGGCAUUGGAGAUUAGAUCCCCAGUGUCCUAGCGAA
rnacentral:rRNA from 1 species